GGACUAAUUAGUGGCUUAUUUAAGAAGAAAGCUUCUAAAUUCCCUGCCACAAGUUCACACAAACUCGUUGUAGAUUCAACAGUAAAAGCUGCAGAAUGUGGAGAUAAAACCACAUUAUCCAUUGCAAAUAGCUUUUCAUCAACAUGAGGUUCAUUCUCAAACACAUCCAAACCAGCACCAGCAAUUUCUCCUUCCAUCAAACACUUGAUCAAUUGUUUCUCAUCAAUAAGACCACCUCUUCCAACAUUUACAAUAAACCCUUCUUUUCCUAAUGCCAAAAGGACAUCUUUGUUUACUAUGUGUCGUGUUUGGUUGUUUAGUGCACAACAUACCACAAGUGCGUCGCUAGAAGUUGCAAGAUCAAUAACAUUGGAAUAGAAAGGGUACGAAAUUGAUGUUUUUUGAUGCUUAGAGUUGUACGAGAUAAUGCAAUCAAAUGACUCGAGUCGCUUGGCAACUUCCAUGCCAAUACUUCCUAAUCCAACAAUUCCAACUCGCUUGCCUGAUAACUAAAACAAUGAAAAACAAAACCUUUGGUACAUGUUUGGCUGUGUGACGAAUCAGUAUUAUUCAAGACAAAAUGUUUAUAUAUAAAAAAUAAAAUAAAGCAAUGAAAAUGCGAACCUUGUAUCCAAGAGGGAAAUCCCAAGGAUCAGAACGUUCCCGCCGCGUCCUCACAUACCGAUUCGCCACCGUCACCUUCCUCAUGACAGCAAUCAGCAACGCCACUGCCACAUCAGCCACAUCCUCCGAGAAAACUCCUCCAGCACCGGCAACCUGAAUUCCGCGACGACGGCACUCAUUAAGGUCAAUGUGAUCAGUUCCAACACUGGAAGUAACGACGAGACUGAGCGAGGGAAGAAGGUUGAGAACGUCGGUGGUGAUGGAAUAUGCGGCGCUGCAGAAUAUGGCGGGAAUUGUUGAUGGGUUGUGGUUGUGGGAAAGGAUGAAUUGUUGCAGUGAUAGGCCUGAGGGUUUGGGGUUUAGGAAAUUGAAUUUGUGAGAGUAGAGUGAUUCGAAGGUGGAGAAACAUGUUGGUGGACCAAGAACAAGUACUUUUGGAAGGUCUUUGGCCAUUGAAUUUUAAGGAUUUGUGGUGUUUGAGAAAGGGAUGAACUUAGCACUUUUAUUUGGAUGACACUCAAAACUGUGGCUAGAAACUCCUCUUAAUUAUUUCUCUGUAUCACUUGACUUCCAUGAAGCGCGAACAUGCCUUAGAUUAGACGUAUUUCGGUGUCGGAUACAUGUUAUUUCUGAACCGACACUUAUAAUUACACUGAAUUAUUUAAUUUUUUUUAUAUUUUAGCUGUGUCGAUAUCCGUGUCGUGUCUGUGUUCGUAUUCGUGCUUCAUAGCUUGAGUUUCAAUCAUUAGUUUUUUUUUUUUUUUUAAUGAUAAGUUUAGAUGUGUUAGACUCUUGAGCUCACCCGAUAAAAAGAAAACACGUGUUUAGUAAACUUAAAAAUCACAUUAAAAACUUGUUGAAGCUACGAAUUGUAAUUGUAGGUAGAGUUUUUCAAUUGUGCGUUUAUCUCCACAUCAAAUUUGGAUGCAAACAUGUUAUCAAAGAACAAUUUAAAAAAAGAAAACAAAUUGAGUUCAAGUGGUUUGUAAACUCAAGUUAAAUAUAAAACUUAUGAGAAAAUUUGGACACUUGAUACACCCGAAUUCGGAAUAAUGGAAAAUAACUCGAAGCUGAAAAUUAAUAUUGCGUGAAAUUUAUACAAUGUAAUUUGUUAUUUGUAUUGAGUUAAAAGUUGAGAAAUUUUGCCAUGUGAUUCUUUGUUUUAUCAUAAACAGAUGACGACAUUAGGAUAUGGACAUAACCUAUAGUUGUGAAUUUGGAAGAGUGCUUGAUGGACCACUUCAGUAUGCACUUUUCUUGUCGUUUACAGCGAUUUUUGGUUAACGGUGAAGUGUGCUAAAUUCAACCAGUAAUUAAUGUUGGAUAAAUUAGUCGUUAUGUCCUUAGAACACAUAUUAACCAAUCUAAAAUAGAAACAUUCUCUUGUAUUUUGUGCAUUAAAUUGAUCAAAAAUAAAAAAUUAUAUUUAAAUGCAUUAAUUACAACAAAUUAUUUUCACUUAUAACUCAUUAACUUGUGCCUUAUGAGCACGUUAACAUUUUCCAUUAAUGUUUCAUUUAUCCACUGUCCACACUUACUUUUAUCUAUUGGUUUUUUUUUCUUUUUCUUUGAGAGAUUUUAUUGGUUUUCUUUUCUUCGCUUCAGUUAAACCAUUUAAUAUUCUCUCUCUAAAAAAAAACCUGCGUCCGCUCGUAAGUGACCCUAAAUAUGAUUGCACCUUCGCUGAUGUUGGCUUCUGCCGGUUUUGGGUUUUUAUUUGGCUUAUUUCCAAUCUAUUUUGGUUGUGCUACCUUUCCACCGAUUGUCUAUCAUAAGAAUUUGUUUCCUAAAUUCUAUUGGGCCGAUCGCUUUUGAUUCGAGAUCAGGAGUUAGUUAGUUUCAAAUUUUUGGGAUUGUUUUGGUGUUUGGGAGUUGAGGGGUGCCUUAAUAAUUUGUUUAUGGAGUCUGGUGGACCGAUCGCUUUGAUUCGAGAUCGAAAGUCAGUGUCGUGACUUAAGUUUUUGGGUUUGUUAUGGUGUCAUCUCCAACGUAUCGGGGGUCCAGUGGUGUGGGGGAAACUGAAGGAGUGUUGGAAUUAGGGGUGUUCAAAACUGAACCAAUCUAAAAGAAAAACCGCAAACCGAACCAAACCAAACCGCAUACUUAUUUAUUUUGUGGUUCGAAUGACUUUUAACCUCAAAACCGAACCAAACCGCACCGCGAACACCCCUACUUGGAAUAAGUCAUUAGUCAAUACUCUAGUGUUUAAUUGGGCUCAACUGUGGUGUUGAAGUUCUAUUUUAAGGGGUUUGAUCACUGGGAUGAUUUAUUGGAGGGGUUAUGGUGAGUAGUAUUCGAUAUUUGAUUGAAUUUUCUGUCCGUGGUCACUUGCGAGAAAGCGUGAGGUUUUAACUUUGAUUUUGGUUUUGGUGGUUAUAUUUUUUUUUUGUGUGGUGGUGGUAGCCCUUAAUAUAGGUGUUGAUAUGGUUUUCUUUUAGGUGUUCCGCUUAAUAUGACGCCUUGAUUUUAUAAUUUAUGUUUAUUAGUACCUGUUCGUUUGUGCAAGGACUUAAUCAUUACUAAAUUUUGCUGUUAAAAAAAUAUAUUAAUGUUUCAUUUGUUAACCGUAUAAGAUCUUGAACGAGUUGAUUGAUAACCUAAAUGACCUUACUCGUGUGUGUGUUUUAUAAAGUUUUUGGUCUAGAAGGGAUGUGACUUUGAGAGUUACUAGUUUGAAAUAGAAAUUAAAGACACAAAAAGCAAAUAAAAUAUUGCGUUCAAAUUAAACAAGAAAAAUAAUUGGACUGGAAGUAGAUUGACAAAGAACAUAAAUUGACUUGAAAUGUAAAAAGGUUCAACCAAGUGGAAAGCUGCUUGACAUUAAAGGCUUCAAAUUGUAAAUGUUUGAAGCUUUAGAAGACUCGAAAGUAAAUUGCUGAAAAGUAAAGUGUGAAAAGAUAAAGGUUUUAACAGGAACCUCAAUGGUUUACACAUUAUGAACCAUGAUUAGGAUUACAUAAUGCAAUUUUGCCCAUCGAGAAUUGCCUUAUGAUGGUAAACAUAUUUCUUAUAUGGUAUCAACUAGGUUUCGAUCCAACUUUUCCCUAUCUGCCGGCACAACCACAAACAACGGGCACCAUCAAAAUUUCACCUGUUUUUGCCAUCACCAAAGUUAAAUCCAUCACAUCGAUGACAUUGGAUAGCGAUUUCAACCUCUAUCUCUCAUGAUCAGCAUUGCUUAAGGUCCAAACAUGCAUUCAUAACGUGCUUGACCACAUCAUCCCACCUACUGAUGAGGAGGUAGGUCAAAAAGUGGACACCACUAAAAACAACGACCUAGAUAUAUGGAAGCAUCUCAACGCAGUUGUCCUCCCGUAAAUGUACGCUAGUAUACGCCAUUCUUACACAUGACAUCCUCAACUCCAUUCUCCUCAAUGACGACUCGACUGAACUAUGUUGAAGAAUUAUUUUAUUUAUACACCUUAAUGAACUUAUUGAUCACGAACCAUAUAAAAAUAACUAAAAUUUGAUACUUAAUAAACUCUGAACUUAACAUUCUUCAUAGCCGAUCUCUCAAACUAGUAGCGCAUAUCGAUCAUUACAAACUUGACCUAAAAACACCAUAAGAACAAACAUGUUCAAAAGGAUGCAACAUAGGAACAAAAAAAAUGUGAAAAACAUUUCAUAGUCUACUUGGUAACGCGGUGGGAUGAAGGAAACACACGGCGAAUGAUAACACUGAAUUUGAGAUUUCCAAAUACACAUAACGCAUCCAAUCAACUAUAUAACCGGAGUAAUCGGAGCUUUAUUUGAAAAGAAUGCUGUCAAAUUUUGUUCCACAAUUUGGCGGAUACCCAUCAAAGACUCAGAAGUUACAACAGCUGCAUGAGGUGAAAGGACAACAUUAUCCAAUGAAAAGAAGUCUUUAGGAACAUGAGGUUCAUUCUCAAACACAUCCAAACCAGCACCUCCAAUUUCAUCUUCAAUCAAAC
rnacentral:lncRNA from 1 species